GAUUUGCAUAAAAUCUUCUGAUAAUUAUAAACGAUUCAACUCAACGAGUUGAGUCGUUACCUACACGACCAGUAUCGUUGUCUAUGAUUAUACGAACGCACCCAUUACAACGAGUUGAAUCGUUACUUAUACGACCAGGGUCGUUGUCUACGAUUGUACGAACGCACUCAAUGAUGUCUCGCAUUACGCGAUUUCCCAUAACGCGGAACGUAUCCCCCGCGUUAUAUGGGAGUGCACUGUAUAUAAUAUUAAAAAAAAAAUUCUGUUUUCUUUGUAAAUUGUAUACGCAUGGCUAAAACUCGACAUUCCUGAAGUAGCUAAAGCACCUUAUAUUUAACAACAAUCUAAACAUCUUAUGUUUGGCAGUAUAUUUUAUAAUUCUAUUGUUUAAUUAUGCAAACACGAUUUAUAUCUAUCAAGGAAAAUAUUUUUUUUUUUUUUUAAAUAAAUAUAAUUAGAAAAUACGAUGUUUUUGUUUAGAGUUGCC
rnacentral:lncRNA from 1 species